rnacentral:rRNA from 1 species
ACGAACACUAGCAACAUACCUAACACAUGCAAGUCAAACGCCCCGCAAAAAAAAUAACACACGGAUGAAUAACACGUAAAGAUCUGCCCAUCGGUAAAAAAUAACCUCGGGAAACUGAGACUAAUACCGCAUACGCCCUGUAAAGGGGAAAGAUUUAUCGCCAAUGGAUGAACCCGCGUCCGAUUAGCUUGUUGGUGAGGUAAUGGCUCACCAAGGCUUCGAUCGGUAGCUGGUCUGAGAGGAUGACCAGCCACACUGGGACUGAGACACGGCCCAGACUCCUACGAAAGGCAGCAGUAGGGAAUAUUGGACAAUGGGCACAAGCCUGAUCCAGCAAUGCCGCGUGAAUGAUAAAGGCCUUAAAGUUGUAAAGUUCUUUCGCUCGUGACGAUGAUGACGGUAACGAGAGAAGAAGCCCCGGCUAACUUCGU